GCUUUGCCGCCCACCAGGUUGGUGUGUAGAAUGAAAAUGAUCUGUCUGGGGUUCUUCGUCUUUUUGGCAGCUUUCUCAGGUGUCAGCUCCCAGAUCCAGCUGACCCAGUCUGGGGCAGAAAUCAAGAAGCCUGGAGAGUCUGUGAAGGUGACAUGUAAAACCUCCGGCUACACCUUUACCAGCUAUUACAUUAGUUGGGUGCGGCAGGCUCCCAGGAAAGGACUGGAGUGGAUCGGAUAUAUUGAUCCCAGCGAUGGUGAAACUGGCUAUGCCCAGGCCUUCCAGGGGCGAUUCACCAUCACCAGGGACACGUCCAUAAGCACGGCCUAUCUGCAGCUGGGCAGCCUGAGAACCGAGGACACGGCCACGUAUUACUGUGCUAGAUACACACAGUGA